AAGUCGUAACAAGGUUUCCGUAGGUGAACCUGCGGAAGGAUCAUUACCUAGAGUUUGUGGACUUCGGUCUGCUACCUCUUACCCAUGUCUUUUGAGUACCUUCGUUUCCUCGGCGGGUCCGCCCGCCGGUUGGACAACAUUCAAACCCUUUGCAGUUGCAAUCAGCGUCUGAAAAAACUUAAUAGUUACAACUUUCAACAACGGAUCUCUUGGUUCUGGCAUCGAUGAAGAACGCAGCGAAAUGCGAUAAGUAGUGUGAAUUGCAGAAUUCAGUGAAUCAUCGAAUCUUUGAACGCACAUUGCGCCCCUUGGUAUUCCAUGGGGCAUGCCUGUUCGAGCGUCAUUUGUACCUUCAAGCUCUGCUUGGUGUUGGGUGUUUUGUCUCGCCUCCGCGCGCAGACUCGCCUUAAAACAAUUGGCAGCCGGCGUAUUGAUUUCGGAGCGCAGUACAUCUCGCGCUUUGCACUCAUAACGACGACGUCCAAAAGUACAUUUUUACACUCUUGACCUCGGAUCAGGUAGGGAUACCCGCUGAACUUAA
rnacentral:rRNA from 1 species